AGAGAGGAUAGAUGAAAUACUUGGAAAAGUGUAGCAUAGAAGGUGAAACUCCUGUAAUUUAAAUUCUCAAUAGCUCUAUUGGUAUCCUGAGUAGGUCGGAACACGUGAUAUUUUGACUGAAACUGGGGGGACCACCCUCCAAUCCUAAAUACUACUUACAGAUCGAUAGUGAACAAGUACCGUGAGGGAAAGGUGAAAAGUACUGCAGCGAGCAGAGUGAAAUAGAACCUGAAACCAUUAGCUUACAAUCAUUCAGAGCCCUAUGGUGCAUCUCGUAAAGUUUUAACUUUACUAGUGCACCGAAAGUCAUCAAGAUUAGCGGAGUCCUUGUAAAAUCGUAAGAUUUUAUGAGGUGCACCAGGGUGAUGGACUGCCUUUUGCAUAAUGAGCCUGCGAGUUGUGGUGUCUGGCAAGGUUAAGCCAAGUGCGAAGCCGUAGCGAAAGCGAGUCUUAAUAGGGCGACAUAGUCAGAUGCUGCAGACCCGAAACGAAGUGAUCUAUCCAUGAGCAGGUUGAAGCUGGUGUAAGAGCCAGUGGAGGACCGAACCCGCUGACGUUGAAAAGUCUUGGGAUGACUUGUGGAUAGGGGUGAAAGGCCAAUCAAACUUCGUGAUAGCUGGUUCUCUCCGAAAUAUAUUUAGGUAUAGCCUUGUGUUGUAGCAUAUAGGGGUAGAGCACUGAAUGGGCUAGGGCUGCUUACCGCGGUACCAAACCCUAUCAAACUAUGAAUACUAUAUGUGGAAUCACAGGAGUCAGGCGGUGGGUGAUAAAAUCCGUCGUCAAGAGGGGAACAACCCAGACUAACAGCUAAGGUCCCUAAGUUACAUCUAAGUGGAAAACGAUGUGGAGUUACUGUGACAACCAGGAGGUUGGCUUAGAAGCAGCCAUCCUUUAAAGAAAGCGUAACAGCUCACUGGUCUAGUGAUUCUGCGCGGAAAAUAUAACGGGGCUAAGAUGUACACCGAAGCUUUAGAUUCAAUUUUUAAUUGAGUGGUAGGAGAGCGUUCUAUUCAGCGUUGAAGGUAUACCGGUAAGGAGUGCUGGAGCGGAUAGAAGUGAGCAUGCAGGCAUGAGUAGCGAUAAUUAAGGUGAGAAUCCUUAACGCCGAAAACCCAAGGUUUCCUACGCGAUGCUCGUCAUCGUAGGGUUAGUCGGGUCCUAAGUCGAGUCCGAAAGGGGUAGACGAUGGCAAAUUGGUUAAUAUUCCAAUACCAACAUAUAAGCGCGAUGUGGGGACGCAUAGAGUUAGUCGAGCUCACUGAUGGAAUAGUGGGUCGAAGGACGUAGGUUGAUACUUAGGCAAAUCCGGGUAUCAUAAGACCGAGAUCUUACAGGCUCUUGACACUCUUCGGAGGAGAUGGAGAAUCGAUGAUACUGUCGUGCCAAGAAAAGCCACUAAGUUUAUUAUAUGUUGCCCGUACCGUAAACCGACACAGGUGGGUGGGAUGAGUAUUCUAAGGCGCGUGGAAGAACCCUCUUUAAGGAACUCUGCAAAAUAGCACCGUAUCUUCGGUAUAAGGUGUGCCUACUUUGGUAUAGAAACUUGCUUUCAAAAGCUGAAGAGGUUGCAACAAAGAGUCCCUCCCGACUGUUUACCAAAAACACAGCACUUUGCUAACACGUAAGUGGAUGUAUAAGGUGUGACGCCUGCCCGGUGCUCGAAGGUUAAUUGAUGAUGUCAGCGCAAGCGAAGCAUUUGAUCGAAGCCCGAGUAAACGGCGGCCGUAACUAUAACGGUCCUAAGGUAGCGAAAUUCCUUGUCAGUUAAAUACUGACCUGCAUGAAUGGCGUAACGAGAUGGGAGCUGUCUCAAAGAGGGAUCCAGUGAAAUUGUAGUGGAGGUGAAAAUUCCUCCUACCCGCGGAAAGACGGAAAGACCCCGUGCACCUUUACUACAGCUUGACACUGUAGCUUGGAUAUUCAUGUGCAGGAUAGGUGGGAGGCUAUGAUGACUAGACGCAAGUAGAGUCGGAGCCAUCCUUGAGAUACCACCCUUGAAUAUUUGAGUUACUAACUGCGAUGAGUUAUCCUCAUUCAGGACAAUGUCUG
rnacentral:rRNA from 1 species